rnacentral:rRNA from 1 species
AGUGAACGCUGGCGGUAGGCCUAACACAUGCAAGUCGAACGGCAGCACAGUAAGAGCUUGCUCUUACGGGUGGCGAGUGGCGGACGGGUGAGGAAUACAUCGGAAUCUACUUUUUCGUGGGGGAUAACGUAGGGAAACUUACGCUAAUACCGCAUAUGACCUACGGGUGAAAGCAGGGGAUCUUCGGACCUUGCGCGAUUGAAUGAGCCGAUGUCGGAUUAGCUAGUUGGCGGGGUAAAGGCCCACCAAGGCGACGAUCCGUAGCUGGUCUGAGAGGAUGAUCGGCCACACUGGAACUGAGACACGGUCCAGACUCCUACGGGAGGCAGCAGUGGGGAAUAUUGGGCAAUGGGCGCAAGCCUGAUCCAGCCAUACCGCGUGGGUGAAGAAGGCCUUCGGGUUGUAAAGCCCUUUUGUUGGGAAAGAAAAGCAGCAGGUUAAUACCCCGCUGUUCUGACGGUACCCAAAGAAUAAGCACCGGCUAACUUCGUG